GACGUAGGGAGCGAGCGUUGUCCGGAAUUACUGGGCGUAAAGCGCGCGCAGGCGGCUCUUUAAGUCUACCCGUGAAAUGCCGGAGCUCAACUCCGUGCACGCCGGGGGAUACUGGAGAGCUGGAGACGAGUAGAGGCAAGCGGAAUUCCGGGUGUAGCGGUGGAAUGCGUAGAGAUCCGGAAGAACACCGGAGGCGAAGGCGGCUUGCUGGGCUUGGUCUGACGCUGAGGCGCGAAAGCGUGGGGAGCGAACAGG
rnacentral:rRNA from 1 species